rnacentral:rRNA from 1 species
AGAACGAACGCUGGCGGCAUGCCUAAUACAUGCAAGUCGAACGAACACUUCGGUGUUAGUGGCGCACGGGUGCGUAACGCGUGGGAAUCUGCCCUUGGGUUCGGAAUAACAGUUGGAAACGACUGCUAAUACCGGAUGAUGACGAAAGUCCAAAGAUUUAUCGCCCAGGGAUGAGCCCGCGUAGGAUUAGCUAGUUGGUGAGGUAAAGCUCACCAAGGCGACGAUCCUUAGCUGGUCUGAGAGGAUGAUCAGCCACACUGGGACUGAGACACGGCCAGACUCCGUACGGGAGCAGCAGUAGGGAAUAUGGACAAUGGGCGCAAGCCUGAUCCAGCAAUGCGCGUGAGUGAUGAAGGCUUAGGGUUAGAAACGCUUCCUUACCGAGUAUGAAUAACGACAGUA